rnacentral:rRNA from 1 species
GUGCUUAACACAUGCAAGUCGAACGGAAAGGCCCUGCUUUUGUGGGGUGCUCGAGUGGCGAACGGGUGAGUAACACGUGAGUAACCUGCCCUUGACUUUGGGAUAACUUCAGGAAACUGGGGCUAAUACCGGAUAGGAGCUCCUGCUGCAUGGUGGGGGUUGGAAAGUUUCGGCGGUUGGGGAUGGACUCGCGGCUUAUCAGCUUGUUGGUGGGGUAGUGGCUUACCAAGGCUUUGACGGGUAGCCGGCCUGAGAGGGUGACCGGCCACAUUGGGACUGAGAUACGGCCCAGACUCCUACGGGAGGCAGCAGUGGGGAAUAUUGCACAAUGGGCGGAAGCCUGAUGCAGCAACGCCGCGUGCGGAAUGACGGCCUUCGGGUUGUAAACCGCUUUCGCCUGUGACGAAGCGUGAGUGACGGUAAUGGGUAAAGAAGCACCGGCUAACUACGUGCCAGCAGCCGCGGUGAUACGUAGGGUGCGAGCGUUGUCCGGAUUUAUUGGGCGUAAAGGGCUCGUAGGUGGUUGAUCGCGUCGGAAGUGUAAUCUUGGGGCUUAACCCUGAGCGUGCUUUCGAUACGGGUUGACUUGAGGAAGGUAGGGGAGAAUGGAAUUCCUGGUGGAGCGGUGGAAUGCGCAGAUAUCAGGAGGAACACCAGUGGCGAAGGCGGUUCUCUGGGCCUUUCCUGACGCUGAGGAGCGAAAGCGUGGGGAGCGAACAGGCUUAGAUACCCUGGUAGUCCACGCUGUAAACGGUGGGUACUAGGUGUGGGGUCCAUUCCACGGGUUCCGUGCCGUAGCUAACGCUUUAAGUACCCCGCCUGGGGAGUACGGCCGCAAGGCUAAAACUCAAAGGAAUUGACGGGGCCCCGCACAAGCGGCGGAGCAUGCGGAUUAAUUCGAUGCAACGCGUAGAACCUUACCUGGGUUUGACAUGGAUCGGGAGUGCUCAGAGAUGGGUGUGCCUCUUUUGGGGUCGGUUCACAGGUGGUGCAUGGCUGUCGUCAGCUCGUGUCGUGAGAUGUUGGGUUAAGUCCCGCAACGAGCGCAACCCUUGUUCACUGUUGCCAGCACGUUAUGGUGGGGACUCAGUGGAGACCGCCGGGGUCAACUCGGAGGAAGGUGGGGAUGACGUCAAGUCAUCAUGCCCCUUAUGUCCAGGGCUUCACGCAUGCUACAAUGGCUGGUACAGAGAGUGGCGAGCCUGUGAGGGUGAGCGAAUCUCGGAAAGCCGGUCUCAGUUCGGAUUGGGGUCUGCAACUCGACCUCAUGAAGUCGGAGUCGCUAGUAAUCGCAGAUCAGCAACGCUGCGGUGAAUACGUUCCCGGGGCUUGUACACACCGCCCGUCAAGUCAUGAAAGUUGGUAACACCCGAAGCCGGUGGCCUAACCGUUGUGGGGGAGCCGUCGAAGGUGGGACUGGUGAUUAGGACUAAGUCGA